UGUGACAGCUGUUCAAGAUGUUGAAGGGGUUGAACUAUGUGGAACUUUGAAAAAUGUUGUGGCCAUAGCAGCAGGUUUUGUUGAUGGCCUGGAGAUGGGAAACAAUACAAAAGUAAGUUUAAAAGAUUUUAUUAUCAUAAGGUUUUCG